ACAAGAAUAUGUGGGAGUAGGAAAGGAUAGAAGGAGGAGGGAGCAAAAAAGAAUUAAGAUGUGCUAUGUACAUGUACAAACUCCCCAUGGUAAAUGCAAUUGUUAUGUUCUGCAGACAUGUACUAAUAAAAAAAAAAGAAAUAUAAAUCAUGAGCUAGACCACAUGAGACUCAAAUUCUAGUUGGCAGAAUGGUCAAAAGUUAUAACAUAAACAGGUGGUAAAAAUAAUCAAUGGAUAUCAAACAUUUUAGGUAUUUGAGAAGAAAUAUUGUUUUGUGGGAUAAUCAAGAAAACUACAGAAAGGGUGAAAUUGAGCAGAAAUUUAGGGGAGGUGACCUCUUAUCCCCCAAUCCCUUAUUCCCGACAGAGGAGCCAUUCUAAGACCCCACCAGUGGAUGUCUGAAACUGGGGACAAUACCAAACCUAUACUAUAUCUGUGUUUUUUCCUGUGCAUAAAUACCUGUGAUAAAGUUUAGCUUAUACAUUAGGCACAGUGAAAAACUAAUGAUAAUAACUAACAAUAAAAUAGGACAAUUCUAAAAAUACGCUUGUACUUUAAUAAAACUACCAGCACCAUGACUCUUGCACUUUGGGGACAUCAUUAAAUAAAAUAAGGGUUAUUUGAACGCAGGGACUAUCAUACUAUGGUAAUUGAUCUCUUGACCUGAAUGGCUGCUCAGUGAUUAAUAGGUUGAUAGUGUAUACACCGUGGAAAUGCUGAACAAAAGUGAUGAUUCAUGUUCCAGGAAUGAUGGAGAGGGGUGAUAUAAGAUUUCAUGAUAUUACUCAGAAUGUCUAGUAAUUUAAAGCAUAUUAGUUUUUAUUUCUGGACUCUUUCAUUCAGUAUUUUCAGAACUGAAUUGACUGCAGGUAACUGAAACCAUAGCAGAUAACAGGGACCAGCUGUACGUGAGAAGGAGGGAGAAGGCAACUUCUUGCUUGAGAUUAUUUUUGCCAAGCAGAGUUGUGAGGGCUGCGUGAAGUAAUCCUUCAUUGUGAUUCAUCCAAGGGAGCCUGAAUCAGCACGUGGUCAUUUCCUGUGUGGUGAGUGGGGUGGGGAGGCUGCCUUGAGUGCAACAGUGUCAUCAAAGGGAUGGGUGUGGGGCUUGGGAGUAUUAACUUAGUGAUGGCAUGUAGUAUGAAAUGGAAUAAGGGAGCAUGUGUGUGUUGAGCUAAGGGAAAUAGACAUGAAGACAUGGGGGCUUGAGCUAGCCAUAGUAUAGGCAA